UUAUAAUUCCUAUUCUUUAAAAAUAUUUUGUCAGUUUUAAAAAUAUGAUGCUUUUAAUGGAAAUUCUUCUUAUCAGUGACCUAAAAAUAUAUGUAUAUAUUUUAUUAUUUAGAUGUUACGGAUAAACGCUUUGCUUGUUCUAGCAAAGGGUUCCCCAAAGUGAAUGAAAUAAUCAAGUUGUAUCUUACCUCAGAAAACUUGAAAGUCCAGUGUUUUUUCCAAACUGAAAAUGAGAUUUCUUCAAAAGGAAUGCUGAGUGUGUUCACAUCAGGAGGACUUGCUCCCAGCUUGGGAAUCAUGAAUAGUACCUAUAAUGGCAUCUUCCACUUUAAUUUGUCAUUGUUUAGUGACCGGGUUUACUGGUUGAUUGAUAUUCCUAGAGAAAACAUCACACAAAACACAGAUAUUGCAGCUGUAGAAGAAUGGUCAGUAAGGAUCACUUUACAUCAUGGAUUAAAUAUUUAUGCUACUGAAGGAACCCUAUUGGAUAGUAUUCGAGAACCUAUUCUUCAGUGGACUCCUGGGAUUCUGAUUUCAGAAAGUGAUGUCCUUAAUUUAUAUCCACAUGUGGUAGAUAUCAAAGUGACAAAAUGCCCCUGUGCCAAUGAUGUAGCACUACUAGCCUUCAUUUUGGGUACCACAUUUGAUGGUAAGUUUACAGCUUUAUUAAAUGUUAGAAGUGGC
rnacentral:lncRNA from 1 species